CUACGGGGUGCUGCAGUGGGGAAUAUUGCACAAUGGGCGAAAGCCUGAUGCAGCAACGCCGCGUGAGCGAUGAAGGCCUUCGGGUCGUAAAGCUCUGUCCUAAGGGAAGAAUAAAUGACGGUACCUUAGGAGGAAGCCCCGGCUAACUACGUGCCAGCAGCCGCGGUAAUACGUAGGGGGCAAGCGUUAUCCGGAAUUAUUGGGCGUAAAGAGUGCGUAGGUGGAUUUGCAAGCCUUGGGUGAAAGGCUACGGCUUAACCGUAGUAAGCCUAAGGAACUGUAGAUCUUGAGUGCAGGAGAGGAAAGUGGAAUUCCUAGUGUAGCGGUGAAAUGCGUAGAUAUUAGGAGGAACACCAGUGGCGAAGGCGACUUUCUGGACUGUAACUGACGCUGAGGCACGAAAGCGUGGGGAGCGAACAGGAUUAGAUACCCUUGUAGUC
rnacentral:rRNA from 1 species